AGAAGAGAGGAGAAAUGGAGACCUACCUGGAGCAAAGUGACAAGGCAAAAACGCCCAUCCUAGGGUUGGGUACAUGGCAGUCUCCUUUAGGGAAAGCGGGAGAGGCCGUGAGACUGGCGAUUGCUAUCGGAUACCGACACUUUGAUUGUGCCCAUGUCUACGAGAAUGAAGAGGAGAUCGGAGAUGCAAUCCAGAAAAAGAUACGGGAACAGAGUGUGGCAUGAGAACAUCUCUUUAUAGUCAGUAAACUCUGGUGCAUGUUUCAUGAGAAAUCCUUGGUGAAGGGAGCAUGUGAAAGAACCCUGGCAUCUCUAAAGGUGGAUUAUUUGGAUCUCUACC